rnacentral:rRNA from 1 species
CUUAAGCAUAUCAAUAAGCGGAGGAAAAGAAACCAACAGGGAUUGCCCCAGUAACGGCGAGUGAAGCGGCAACAGCUCAAAUUUGAAAUCUGGCCCCUAGGGCCCGAGUUGUAAUUUGCAGAGGAUGCUUUUGGCGAGGUGCCUUCCGAGUUCCCUGGAACGGGACGCCAUAGAGGGUGAGAGCCCCGUCUGGUUGGAUACCGAGCCUCUGUAAAGCUCCUUCGACGAGUCGAGUAGUUUGGGAAUGCUGCUCUAAAUGGGAGGUAUAUGUCUUCUAAAGCUAAAUACCGGCCAGAGACCGAUAGCGCACAAGUAGAGUGAUCGAAAGAUGAAAAGCACUUUGAAAAGAGGGUUAAAUAGUACGUGAAAUUGUUGAAAGGGAAGCGCUUAUGACCAGACUUGGACCCGGUGAAUCAUCCAGCGUUCUCGCUGGUGCACUUUGCCGGGCUCAGGCCAGCAUCAGUUUGCCUUGGGGGAUAAAGGCUUUGGGAAUGUGGCUCCUUCGGGAGUGUUAUAGCCCAUUGCAUAAUACCCUGGGGCGGACUGAGGUUCGCGCAUCUGCAAGGAUGCUGGCGUAAUGGUCAUCAGCGACCCGUCUUGAAACACGGACCAAGGAGUCGUCUUCGUAUGCGAGUGUUCGGGUGUAAAACCCCUACGCGUAAUGAAAGUGAACGCAGGUGAGAGCUUCGGCGCAUCAUCGACCGAUCCUGAUGUUCUCGGAUGGAUUUGAGUAAGAGCAUACGGGGCCGGACCCGAAAGAAGGUGAACUAUGCCUGUAUAGGGUGAAGCCAGAGGAAACUCUGGUGGAGGCUCGCAGCGGUUCUGACGUGCAAAUCGAUCGUCAAAUAUGGGCAUGGGGGCGAAAGACUAAUCGAAC